GGGAGGGGCCCGCGGUCGAUUAGCUAGCUGGUGGGGUAACGGCCUACCAGGGCUUCGAUCGAUAGCUGGUCUGAGAGGAUGAUCAGCCAGACUGGGACUGCGAACGGCCCAGACUCCUACGGGAGGCAGCAGUUAGGAAUUUUGGGCAAUGGGCGAAAGCCUGACCCAGCAACGCCGCGUGGGUGAUGAAGGCCCUCGGGUCGUAAAGCCCUUUUCCCAGGGACGAUAGUGACGGUACCUGGGGAAUCAGCCCCGGCUAACUACGUGCCAGCAGCCGCGGUAAUACGAAGGUGGCAAGCGUUGUUCGGAUUUACUGGGCGUACAGGGAGCGUAGGCGGUCCGGUAAGUCGGCUGUGAAAGUCCAGGGCUCAACCCUGGGAUGCCGGUCGAUACUGCCGGACUAGAGUUCGGAAGAGGCGAGUGGAAUUCCCGGUGUAGCGGUGAAAUGCGCAGAUAUCGGGAGGAACACCUAUGGCGAAGGCAGCUCGCUGGGACGUUACUGACGCUGAGACGCGAAAGCGUGGGGAGCAAACAGGAUUAGAUACCCUGGUAGUCCACGCCGUAAACGAUGGGCACUAGGUGUGGGAGGUGUCGACUCCUCCCGUGCCGGAGCUAACGCAUUAAGUGCCCCGCCUGGGGAGUACGGCCGCAAGGCUAAA
rnacentral:rRNA from 1 species